AUGAGGAAACCUUACUGUAACCCCGUGAGAUCUGUGGGACCAGAGCACUUGCAUGCAGUGGUUGUUGUUCACUGCACAACAGGUACCAGGAAGGGUAUGGGGCCUUGGAACCUAGCCUACGCUCUGCCCAACAUGCUGUGGAUCAGCCUGGAGAAUGGUAUAUCUUUUUCUAAUUUGUACAAAGGCAUGAUAUUAGUUUGGCUUCUUCAAAAGCAGGCCUCGAGCAGGGAUUUAGAUGCCGGCAGUUAAUUGGGAAGUAAUUCCUGAAAGCACAGUGGGGAAGUGAGGUGAGAAAGGGAAGGAAGGCCAAAAAAGGGUGAGCUGAUGAGUGGUUAUCCUUAUGAGCAACUGAGGGUUAAUUUCACCUUGGACCUUCUGAGACACCAUGUGGAACAUGCCUCAGAAUUUUCCUAGUUGGGGGCAAAGAACCUAGGAUACUUCUUUUUCCACUCCCAUCCCUCCUAAGGUAAGGGUUGCUCCUGGGGCAUUAAUGCCUUGGCACAUGGGUCAAGCACAAUCCUGAUACCAGAGACCAACCUCAGGGAGAGACACAUACAGGAGGCCAUCUGUGUGUUUGGAAACUGCCUGCAGGUGACCUCUGCUCGGCCAAAGGGCUCUAGUUGGGCUUAACAAGCCAGAAUACUCAGAGAAGCAGGUAAUCUGCAUGCAGACAUGUUUUGGUCCAUUGGACAUCUGUCAAAUGUUACUUAGAGUAACUUAGUUACCCUAAGUUACUCUUAGGGUAACUAAAAUGAUCAUAAAAAUAUCAAUUGUCCUGAAUGGCUAAAGAUUAAUGCCAGAAGGCUGGGUAUCUGGCCACAUUCCAGAUAUGGGGUCAUCAUUUUUAUCACUUACAUGAAUUCUCAAUAAUGAAUAAUACCAUUUUAGAAUAUAAAUAGACUGAACUUCCCCUGCAUGUAAAAGUUUUACUCACAUUUUUCCACCUCCCUGAAUUUGUUCACUGGGAAUAGGUUGCCUAGUGGGUAAAUGAAGACAACUUAAAGAGCUUCUGGCACAUCUCAAAAGCUUCCUUGCUGCCCCUGUAUGUUGUGUAGUAUUUAUGAAUCACAACAUGGCACACACUGAACACUCUAAAGGAAUGUGUCCAGAAAUGUUGUGCAGAUUUAGUGUGUGGUGGUGGUGUGUGUGUAUGUGUGCAUGUGUAUACACAGAUGUCUGUAUUUAUACAUUUGGAUCCUUCCACCAUCUGCCCACUAGAACUGUGUGAAUUGUCACCCCUGUCAACCCUUUGGAAGCCCCUAAGCUCUGCAUUGAACACUGGGGCCAAGGCUGUGCUGCCCAUGGUGGAAUCCGCAGCCAUGCAAUAGCUCCUGCUGGGACUCUGAGCAACUAGGAACUCUCCAUGUUCCGAAUGGUGACUUAGAGCUUUCACACUGUGGUGCUGUUUUUGUUGUUUCAUGUUAAUAUGCCCCAAGCAUUUCAUAUUCAAAGAGGGAGAAGAAGACAGGAAAGAAAUCAAGUCCAGUUUCAUGCAGCAAGGCACAGUGUGAGCAGCAUCACACUAUGAUACUAAGGCUAAGAAUUUUAAGUAUUUGAGUGACAGUUGUCUUAGGAUUGUGUCAACUGUCCCAUUUUAGGGUGAGGAAAACAAGGCCCAGGCAACUGAUGUGGCUCAUUCAAGGCCACAGAGAUGGGUCUCUUCUAUGCUGGGAGGUCCGGGUUCUCUCAGGCCCUGUCAGCAGAAAUUUAACCUGUGAGCUUGGGAGCCACUUGAUGUGUUGGUUUUUCUCUAUGUAUCUCCUCAGAUGCAUCCUCUGCCCUUGCUUGCCUGGCUCUGUGUCCAGGAAGCUGGACCACCCCCUCUACCACCUAGCUACCAGCUGAUGCCAGAGAAAGGUUGGGGUAUUUAGUCUCUGUGUUCUUUCUUUGGUUUUUGUGGUGGCUAUGCUCCUCAGGAAUGGCUAUGACUCCAGUCAGGUGGCCUUCCUUCUAAGGCUGCGGUUCUUAUGGGAUUGCAAUCAUAAUUCCUCCCUCCAUUUUGCUGUAGAUGUGAGAGUGGCAAAGGCACCCCACCUGUUGUUACCCCAUGGAUGGCUCACCCAGCUCUGUUCCUUCAUCCUUCCUAUAUAUCUGUAUGCAUUCCCUUCGUUAAAAUCUUUAUAAGAAAACUGUCCGAGCAGGCUGGGAGCUUCCUGGCCAGAGGAUAUACUUAGGGAAGAGUUUUUCCUUUGACAAAUGGGGAUUAAAAACUGUCACUUAGGAUGAAAUAGGUAAAGAAGGUUAAGAGGUACAAGUUUCCAGUUAGAAGUAAAACAUGGAAGUGAAAAGCAAAGCAUAAGCAAUAUACUCAAUGUGCUGCAAUAACAUUAUAUGGUGAGAGAUGGUGCCAGAAUUAUCAUGGUGGGCAGUGAGUACUAUACAGACUGUCAAAUCACUAUGUUGUAUAUUUAAAAUCAAUAUAACUUUGUAUGGAUACUAUACUUCAAUACUAAAUUUUAGAAAAACUGUCCACUUAGGUUUUGGUGAGGGUCAAAUAAGGUCAUGUAUGUAAGCAUGCUGUGUAUAGCCCAAAUGCAUGCUUGUUUUAACCAGAGAUUUUUCACCCAGCCAGUUUAUGCCUUAAUUAGUUUUCAUAUCAGCAUACAACAGUAGCACCUCAACUGUCCUUCUCCAUCUCUCAGGUCACUCAAAUUGAUGUCUCAUGGCAGAGUCUUCCAGUUUUCAUUUUGAAGGCAAUGAAACUGCACACCAAACCUUGAUCUUGUUGCAAAACAGUGAGACAUCCUGCAUUUUGGUGUUAUACCAGACAGCUGUGCACACUGAUCUGCAAAGGAUGCCCUGCAUCUCCUGCCUCCACUUUUCACCUGAAAGUCAAACCAGAGUGACUCACUGAUGCACCAAAGAAGGGAAACAAGUUUUCAGUUAGUGGGGUGUCUCCAACAAUAUUCCACUUAAGAGUUCUGAGGGGCACCCGGGUGGCUCAGCAAUUUAGCGCCUGCCUUCAGCCCAGGAUGUUACUCUGGAGUCCCAGGAUCGAGUCCCACAUCAGGCCCCCUGCAGGGAGCCUGCUUCUCCCGUGCCUGUGUCUCUGCCUCUCUCCCUGGGUCUCUCAUGAAUAAAUAAAUAAAAUCUUAAAAAAAAAAAAAAAAG
rnacentral:lncRNA from 12 species